GACGAACGCUGGCGGCGUGCCUAAUACAUGCAAGUAGAACGGUGAGGGAGGAGCUUGCUCUGCUGGACGAGUGGCGAACGGGUGAGUAACGCGUGGGUAACCUGCCUGGUAGCGGGGGAUAACUAUUGGAAACGAUAGCUAAUACCGGAUAAGAGUAGAUGUUGCAUGGCGGUUACUGAAAAGGUGCAAUGGCUGGACUACGAGAUGGAGCUGCGUUGUAUUAGCUAGUGGGUGGGGUAAAGGCACACCAAGGCGAGGAGACAUAGCCGAACGGCGAGGGGGAUCAGCCACACUGGGAGUGUGACACGGCCCAUUCUCCUACGGGAGCCAGCAGUAGUGAAUCUUCAGCAAUGGGCGGAAGUCUUACCGAGCAACGCCGCGUGAUUGUAGAAGGUUUCCGCAUCGGAAAUCUCUGUUUUAGGAGAAGAAUGAGUGUUAGAGUGGAACGUUCACACUGUGACGGUAACUUACCAGAAAGCGACGGCUAACUACGUG
rnacentral:rRNA from 1 species